rnacentral:rRNA from 1 species
UCGAGAAUCUUCCGCAAUGGACGAAAGUCUGACGGAGCGACGCCGCGUGAUUGAUGAAGCUUUUCGGAGUGUAAAGAUCUUUUAUGAGGGAAGAAGUUUAUUGACGGUACCUCAUGAAUAAGGGGCUCCUAAUCUCGUGCCAGCAGGAGCGGUAAUACGAGAGCCCCGAGCGUUAUCCGGAAUUAUUGGGCGUAAAGGGUGCGUAGGUGGUAGUGUUAGUCGUUUGUCAAAUCCUCGGGCUUAACCCGAG